GGAUGUAAGGGCGAUCUGGCUGCGACAUCUGUCAUCCCACUGAGCGCCAGGGUUGAUUCAGCUGCUCUGGCUGGCUAGGCGGGUGUCUCCUUCCUCCCUUGCUGCUCCACGUGCGCCCCUCCUGAAACUGCAUGCUCAGUGGAAGAGGACGACCAUCCCCGAUAGAAGAGGACUGGUCUUCCGUCAAGGAUAUAGAGUAGCUGCGCUCCCCUGCUAGAACCUCCAAACAAGCUCUCGAUAAUAUCCAGUCUCAAAAAAAAGGAUCUCUUAUGUGUGCUUCAGAACAAGUGGAUAAGUACAAUUGAAGAUUCCAUGUAUAAUUUCAAUCAUCUUUUAGUUAAAAAAAAAACAGUUUAA
rnacentral:snRNA from 1 species